rnacentral:misc_RNA from 1 species
GAUGAAGAACGUAGCGAAACGCGAUAAGUAAUGUGAAUUGCAGAAUUCAGUGAAUCAUCGAAUCUUUGAACGCACCUUGCACCCUUUGGCAUUCUGAAGGGUAUGCUCGUUUGAGUGUCAUUGUACUCUCACACUCCCGAUCUUUGCAUUGGGAGCAGUGGACUUGGGUUUGCUGCUUCACCGUCGCUUACCUCAAAUAGGUUAGUGCAACUCUUGGUUGGACAUAGUACGGCGUGAUAAGUGUUCUUCGCCGGUGCCUCGCAAAGAGGGUGGCCGAUCGGGAUGUUGUGCUCCAAACCGUCUUCGGACAAUCUCUGACGACUUGACCUCAAAUCGAGUAAGACUACCCGCUGAACUUAAGCAUAUCAAUAAGCGGAGGA